rnacentral:rRNA from 1 species
CCUACGGGGGGCAGCAGUGAGGAAUAUUGGUCAAUGGGCGUAAGCCUGAACCAGCCAAGUCGCGUGAGGGAUGAAGGUUCUAUGGAUCGUAAACCUCUUUUAUAAGGGAAUAAAGUGCGGGACGUGUCCCGUUUUGUAUGUACCUUAUGAAUAAGGAUCGGCUAACUCCGUGCCAGCAGCCGCGGUAAUACGGAGGAUCCGAGGGUUAUCCGGAUUUAUUGGGUUUAAUGGGUGCGUAGGCGGCCUUGUAAGUCAGCGGGGCAAGUCUGUGGCUCAACCAUAGAAUUGCCGUUGAAACUGGGGGGCUUGAGUAUGUGAGAGGCAGGCGGAAUGCGUGGUGUAGCGGUGAAAUGCUUAGAUAUCACGCAGAACCCCGAUUGCGAAGGCAGUUUGCCAAGCUAUGACUGACGCUGAUGCACGAAAGCGUGGGGAUCAAACAGGAUUAGAUACCCGAGUAGUC